UUCCCUAGGCUUACUGUUGGGCAUUACUUCAUAGGUGGCCAGAGAAGACAAAUAAAUGAGUGAAUGAGCCAUCAUGUUAUUUGGAAGCUGGAACUCAGGUAAUUUUGGACUUCUGCAUACAAACCAGAGAAGCGGAGCUGCCGUCCUGUUCAUUGGAAGCUGUGUCUACUUUAGCUAUUGGAGCUUGUCGUCGAAGAUUUUAUGAAGAAAGAAUGACUUACCAACUCCUAAAAUCAACAACUUCAGGGCCCUCUGAAAAUCAGGGGUUACAAAGGAUCCCCGUUGCAAAGAGGGGAGGGCUCGCAUCCAGCUGUAGGCCUCUCAUUCAAGGUUCUUGCUGCAGCCAGCAGUGUCCUUGGAGUCUAGUUCAAAGCUGGAGAGAGUGAACCAGGGAGCCAGGAGCCAUUGGUGGAGGGGCUGGCCCGAAGGAAGUGAAGUAUUUCAGCCAGAAUGUAUUGACGCACGACCAGGAAACCACAAGACUGGUGAAAACCUUUCCAAGCCUGAGCCCUAUGAUCAAAAGAGGUGCAGGAAACAGCUCUGCCAAGAGUCCUUUCUGCUGCCGGCUGGAGCCCUGAGCCUCUGAUGCUUUCUGAGUCAACUCCCUGAGCAGAAGCUAUCGCCCAAGGAGGCAUUGCCCAAGCAUUUUCUUACUUUGCUCUGACGUGGCCCCACAGAUAUGUCAUCAGCGUGACAGUUCAAAAGGAAUGAUGCCUCCAUGACACUUGUUCCCUUACUACUCUUCAUGUGACCUGUGUGUCAGCUCUAUAGGACUUCCAGCAGCUUCAAGUUGGCUUCUCAUCAAGAUGAUUCAGAAAAUGCUGCUGAGCUGUGGUGCACAAACAAGGACAUGAGGUACUGGUGACUCAAACCUUAUCAGAUAGGCUGAG